rnacentral:rRNA from 1 species
GACGAACGCUGGCGGCGUGCUUAACACAUGCAAGUCGAACGGAAAGGCCCUGCUUUUGUGGGGUGCUCGAGUGGCGAACGGGUGAGUAACACGUGAGUAACCUGCCCUUGACUUUGGGAUAACUUCAGGAAACUGGGGCUAAUACCGGAUAGGAGCUCCUGCUGCAUGGUGGGGGUUGGAAAGUUUCGGCGGUUGGGGAUGGACUCGCGGCUUAUCAGCUUGUUGGUGGGGUAGUGGCUUACCAAGGCUUUGACGGGUAGCCGGCCUGAGAGGGUGACCGGCCACAUUGGGGCUGGGGUACCGCCCAGGCUCCUACGGGGGGCAAGCGGGGGGAAUAUUGCACAAUGGGGGGAAGGCUUAUGCCAGAACCCCGGGGGCGGGAAGAACGGCUUUCGGGUGGAAACCGGUUUUCGCUUGGAACGAGGCGUGGUGGCGGGAAUGGGUUAAGAAGCACCGGCUAACUACGUG